AAAACAAACAGUCUUCUCCAAAAAAAAGCUAGAAAAAAGCACAUGCUUCUUCUUCAUUUUAAAAAGAGAAUAAAAGCUAGGAUCAGAAGCUCACUUGCAACGGAAGUUUGAUCAGAAGCUAGCACGUUCAUCACUCCUCCAUCGCCGGCGGGAUUCGCUUGAAGCCGGCAGAAAUUAACCCCUAUAAUCGGUCAGUUGCCAUCGGAUUUUCGGAGCUUCAGAACUGCUUAUUUAUCGAAGCUUCCGUUCAUUCUCAUAUCAGAAUUACAAGCUUCUCGAUUUUGUUUCAAAGUCGAGCAUUCCGGCCCAAAGUCCGGACAGUCGAGUUGAGGCGUCCGUUAUAGCCGAGUUCAAAGAAGUUUGGUCGAGUUUCGUUGCGACUCCGACGAAGCACUUCAUUUUUCCGUUCG
rnacentral:lncRNA from 1 species